ensembl:lncRNA
CUGGAUGAUUGUAUGCUGGAUGACUGAUCACUAGGUGAUUGUAUGCUGGAUGACUGAAUACUAGGUGAUUGUAUGCUGGAUGACUGAACACUGGAUGAUUGUACGCUGGACGACUGAACACUGGAUGAUUGUAUGCUGGAUGACUGAUCACUAGGUGAUUGUAUGCUGGACGACUGAACGCUGGACGACUGAACGCUGGACGACUGAAUGCUGGAUGACUGUACGCUGGAAG